GUUCUCCUCAUCUCUCCACAAAUAACUUUGACGUUUGUUUACGUGUUUACAUCGGUCCCAGAAAAAAUGUUUUCUCUAAUCGGUCCAGAAUGUUUUUCGUUUUUUUGGUGCUGCAAUUGAUCAUUCGUCGUUCAAUAGUUAUUCAAAAGUGUGCCAUCCGCCUUCUGCAUCUUAAGUUACUGCUGCUCAAACCACCAAAACCCGCACCUGACCGUCCGGAACUGCGGCAUGCUGAAUAAUUCGAUUGAAAGCGGUCGCCAAAAAUGCUUCGUCCCAGGAGGACAAGGGAAAGUAACGGCACAGCUCGGCUUGUGCUCAGCGGAUCGCUGAAAUAAAUAAACAUCGAUCAACUCUGGGUCAUCGAGCAGCGGCGCACCAAGGCUUCGCUCCAAAAGGCUUGUUUUUACGUUCCCGAAGACGCAAUUGCAUUGCCGGAUACGCCCAUUGGGGGUCCGCAUCUACUACACUACUUUUCUGUCGGAUCCACCCUUGGAGCACGGAAAACAGCGAACAUUGGACGACGCAAGCAGAACCAUUGCUCGGAGACUACACGGCGUCAGAACCACGGAAGGUGUUAGUUCAAUUUCUAAAGCAGUCCGCAACAAAAUUUCUAGAGGAAUUGCUUUAAUUUAAACUUUAAUUACUUCCAUCGGUUUCGGAUCCAAGAUCGGCGCCGGCAGACUACGUGACGGGUAGCACAGAUGGCUGCCCACGAUAUGACGACGGCGCACCAUGAUUCGAGCAAGCUCCAACGGUCGCUGUCGUUUCGUUCCAACGGUAUCCCGAAACGUCCCGAAACGCAUGGAAUUUCACUGGUGCGUGUGAAACCGGCUUUCGACCGACUCAAUUGACGACAUUAUCGAAUUGAUUAAAUGCCCCUCCAAACGGCGGACUAUUUUGCACGAUGCCCUGAACAAAAUGAUAUCCAGGAAACCCGCUGACAAAGCUGUCGAAAAAAAGUUGACUGAAAAAUAUUGACGAGUUUCAACGGGACUACGAUGUGACCAUGCCCAACCGGUUCGAAUAUGCAGGCCGAUAGUAUGCACAACAAGGACACGGGAUGUUCCCCAGCGGAACUAGCUUUUUAUAUGGAACUAGCAUCGCGACAAAACGAUCCAGAUGCUCUAUAAAUCGACUUGUGAUGCCGCCGUCUUCGAGUGAUAUAAAAAAGAUUCACCCCUGCAUCAAAUACACCAUGUUCAGGACUCUGAUGGACUGGUGGUAUUCUACGGGCACGAGAUCUGGAAUAUGCUCAAGGAAGAUAGCAAGUGUCCGAGCAUCGGGUGCUUAGAACCAUCUUUGGCGGUGUGCAGGAGAACGAUGUGUGGCGGCGAAGGAUGAGCCACGAGCUCACUGCACUCUACGGCGAAUCUAGCAUCCGGAAGGUGGCAAAAGCUGGAAUGAAACGAUGGGCAGGGCAUGUUUUGAGAAUGCCGGACAACAAGCCUACAAAGCUGGUUCGCAAGAGAUCCGUAUAGUACAAGGAGACCUGGAGGGUAGCAUGCAAGAUCAGGUGCAGAACGAUCUGGCUAAUGUAGAACGCGGCCGAUGAUUGAGCAAAUGUGUGCAAAUCGAGUGUUGUGGCGAGGAAUUGUUGAAUCAGUUUUAUUGUAAUAUGUAAUACUAAACAAAUAAAGGAAUGCUAUGAAAAAUGACCAAAACUGCUGUAACUCCUCAACGAACUUUUUCAGAAAGGCCUUUUACAACUUCUAGAGAAAUUUCCAGGAGAAUCAAUACAAAAUACUAGGAGGAACUCCUGAAAAAAAUACAGGUGAAAUCCCAGAAUAAACUUCCCAAGAGGAAAAUCUAGGGAAAAAUGCCCAGGACUCCUAAAGAUAAAUCCCUACCCGGUCAACCAGUGAAAGAUUUUCGAUGGCGAUCGCUAUCGAUUAGAUAUAGAACUAUGAAGAAUAUCGGAAUCUGGUUGAUAUGGAAGGAAGAAUUUCUUGAAAAACUAGAACUUCUCAGAAUCCUCAGAAAGAGCAUUCAGGAGGAACCUAUGGAAAAAUCAGACCCCAGCAGGUACUCCAGCAAAAAUCCCCAGGAAUAACUCCUUUGAAAAAAAAAAAAAACAAAGUGAAAUACUUAGAAGAAACUAGGAAAAAAUUGACGAAUAUUGGCAGGCAGAACUCCUGGAGAAAAAUACCCUAGAAUUAUUCCUAUUGGUAACUUCUGGAGUAAAUUCCUAAGGAACAGCUUCCGAAGAAAAAACGUACGAUGGGACUUUUGGAAAUAAAUCAUAAGGGAAUCUUAAAAAAAAAUCACUAGGAAGAACUAAAAAAAACUCCCAGAAAUCCCGAAAAAACAGUACACUCAUGAUCGUAGAAAAUAUGGAUAAGGAACUAUAGUUCUAGUAUUUCUUACAAAUAGACGAAAUUCUUAGCAAAAAGGGUAAAACACAAUUUAAUUGGAUGUCCAAAAACAGCGAUUCAACCAUUCUUAGCGCACUUCAACUUUGUAGCGACCUCGGUAGCGACUCAAACAGAUCAAAAUGCGCGCGGAAACAAUUCGAAGUGAAUUCUUUCCGCCGGGAAAAAUGUGUGUAGAGAUUUUUUCCCUUUCCGCGCCAAAAUCCGUGGCCGGGUUUACACUUCGGGAAAAUUGACAUCCAUGUUUUCCGCCGCGGAAUUUGAAAUUCCGCGCUCCAUUUAAAACACACAGGGGACCAAAUCCCGUGACACGUUUUCCGAACUGUAAACCAG